rnacentral:rRNA from 1 species
GACGAACGCUGGCGGCGUGCUUAACACAUGCAAGUCGAACGGUGAAAGCGGAGCUUGCUCCGCUGGAUCAGUGGCGAACGGGUGAGUACCACGUGGGCAACCUGCCCCUCACUUCGGGAUAACUCCGGGAAACCGGGGCUAAUACCGGAUUUGACCUCCUUGGGCAUCCUUGGAGGUGGAAAGUUUUUCGGUGAGGGAUGGGCCCGCGGCCUAUCAGCUUGUUGGUGAGGUAGUGGCUCACCAAGGCGACGACGGGUAGCCGGCCUGAGAGGGUGCCCGGCCACACGGGGACUGGGACACGGCCCAGACGCCUACGGGAGGCAGCAGUAGGGAAUCUUCCGCAAUGGACGAAAGUCUGACGGAGCAACGCCGCGUGAGUGAUGAAGGCUUUCGGGUCGUAAAACUCUGUUGUUAGGGAAGAACAAGUGCUAGUUGAAUAAGCUGGCACCUUGACGGUACCUAACCAGAAAGCCACGGCUAACUACGUGCCAGCCGCCGCCGUAA